rnacentral:lncRNA from 13 species
UGGUACAGAUACGAAACAGAAAACAACUACCCACAACUCAAGGGCGAAACCAGGCUGCCUAAGUAUGGUUCUCAAUCAGAGACAACGAUUGACAGCUGCCUCUGAUUGGGAACCAUACCAGGCCAAACACAUAGAAAUACAAACAUAGAACAAAACAUAGACAGCCCACCCCAACUCACGCCCUGACCAACCUAAAAUAGAGACAUAAAAAAGGAACUAAGGUCAGGACGUGGCAUGUAAUUUGAUUUCAAUGGAAAAAGUAAAUCUGGGGUGGGGUGGGGGGGUAGGUGGGGGUGGGGGGAUUGGAGGGCAAAAUGAGUCUGAAGUAGCCAAUCCCACCCACCCUAGCCAAUCCAAAAUGCAUCAUUAGCAUUACAAAGAAAGCACACAAUACAGGCAACGCAUUCUGAACCAAUAACUAUAAACGUGGACAUUUCUAUUGUAGCAUCAUCAUUGUCUGCUUCACAUGAACGCUGAGAGAGCCAUCCCCCAGAUGUAAUACAUUAGAAUGCAUGCUCCUUCUUGGGCUGAAAAACAAACCAAUGAAGUUCCUCUGUUGUGUGUGGGUGGCCUUGAUGUGUACUUAUGUGCUGCCUGCCUGCGUCAGUGCCUGGAGUUGAGUGCCUGCAGCUGAGCUGGAGGCCUGUCUGUCUAUCAGAGUGUAGUCUGACUCAGUGAGUCUCAAGUCAGAGAGGACAACUCCUCAGAGGAUAAUGGAGGCUCCUGGAAGAAGGACCUUUGUCGCUCUGUGUUUCUACACUGCACUACUUACUCUCUCAGGUAAGAGGAAGAAGAGACACACAUGUUAAUUGAAUGUCAUUUCAGGAGAAAUUCAUUAAAUGUUUUGCGAGUGUAACCAAAAGCGUUACAAUCAACAUCAACAUUGCCAAUUAUCUUUCAUUAGUUGGAUCCUCAUCGAGCCACUAGACUGUAUUUGAUUUGAUCAGUUAUUACGCGCAUGAUAGAAUGGUACUUCUUUAAUCAUAGUGUUUAGGACAGAGAUACCCCUAUGCAUGUGUGUUAGGACAGAGAUACCCCUAUGCAUGUGUGUUAGGACAGAGAUAUGCAUGUGUGUUAGGACAGAGAUACCCCUAUACAUGUGUGUUAAUGCAAAGUGUUGAUGUUCGUGUUGGUCCACAAGGAUUCUAUGGUGGUUGACUAAGUUGUUACUACGUAGGUAUGUUAGAUUACAGUAGCUACCGAUAUUUAUUAUCUGAUUGCAUGUGUUCAAAUGCGUUUUUUGGUUGGACUUUUAUGGUCGUAAUGAGGGGGA